GGUUGUGUAGUGUAGCGGUUAUCACUCCAGAUUCUGACCGAGUGACUUCUGGCGACCCCGGUUCGAUUCCGGGCACGACCU